AGUGGGGAAUCUUAGACAAUGGGCGCAAGCCUGAUCUAGCCAUGCCGCGUGAGUGAUGAAGGUCUUAGGAUCGUAAAGCUCUUUCGCCAGGGAUGAUAAUGACAGUACCUGGUAAAGAAACCCCGGCUAACUCCGUGCCAGCAGCCGCGGUAAUACGGAGGGGGUUAGCGUUGUUCGGAAUUACUGGGCGUAAAGCGCGCGUAGGCGGAUUGGAAAGUUGGGGGUGAAAUCCCGGGGCUCAACCCCGGAACUGCCUCCAAAACUCCCAGUCUUGAGUUCGAGAGAGGUGAGUGGAAUUCCGAGUGUAGAGGUGAAAUUCGUAGAUAUUCGGAGGAACACCAGUGGCGAAGGCGGCUCACUGGCUCGAUACUGACGCUGAGGUGCGAAAGUGUGGGGAGCAAACAGGAUUAGAUACCCUGGUAGUCCACGCCGUAAACGAUGAAUGCCAGACGUCGGGAGGCUUGCCUCUCGGUGUCACACCUAACGGAUUAAGCAUUCCGCCUGGGGAGUACGGCCGCAAGGUUA
rnacentral:rRNA from 1 species